rnacentral:rRNA from 1 species
GUAACACUAACUGGAGGACCGAACCGACUAAUGUUGAAAAAUUAGCGGAUGACUUGUGGCUGGGGGUGAAAGGCCAAUCAAACCGGGAGAUAGCUGGUUCUCCCCGAAAGCUAUUUAGGUAGCGCCUCGUGAAUUCAUCUCCGGGGGUAGAGCACUGUUUCGGCAAGGGGGUCAUCCCGACUUACCAACCCGAUGCAAACUGCGAAUACCGGAGAAUGUUAUCACGGGAGACACACGGCGGGUGCUAACGUCCGUCGUGAAGAGGGAAACAACCCAGACCGCCAGCUAAGGUCCCAAAGUCAUGGUUAAGUGGGAAACGAUGUGGGAAGGCCCAGACAGCCAGGAUGUUGGCUUAGAAGCAGCCAUCAUUUAAAGAAAGCGUAAUAGCUCACUGGUCGAGUCGGCCUGCGCGGAAGAUGUAACGGGGCUAAACCAUGCACCGAAGCUGCGGCAGCGACGCUGAUGCGUUGUUGGGUAGGGGAGCGUUCUGUAAGCCUGCGAAGGUGUGCUGUGAGGCAUGCUGGAGGUAUCAGAAGUGCGAAUGCUGACAUAAGUAACGAUAAAGCGGGUGAAAAGCCCGCUCGCCGGAAGACCAAGGGUUCCUGUCCAACGUUAAUCGGGGCAGGGUGAGUCGACCCCUAAGGCGAGGCCGAAAGGCGUAGUCGAUGGGAAACAGGUUAAUAUUCCUGUACUUGGUGUUACUGCGAAGGGGGGACGGAGAAGGCUAUGUUGGCCGGGCGACGGUUGUCCCGGUUUAAGCGUGUAGGCUGGUUUUCCAGGCAAAUCCGGAAAAUCAAGGCUGAGGCGUGAUGACGAGGCACUACGGUGCUGAAGCAACAAAUGCCCUGCUUCCAGGAAAAGCCUCUAAGCAUCAGGUAACAUCAAAUCGUACCCCAAACCGACACAGGUGGUCAGGUAGAGAAUACCAAGGCGCUUGAGAGAACUCGGGUGAAGGAACUAGGCAAAAUGGUGCCGUAACUUCGGGAGAA